CGGAGCGGGAUGUGGUGGCCACGGUGGAGCGGGAAUUUGGGAAGUUGGAAUCCUUCAUCAGCCAGGUCCUGGAUGAAGCCGUCGUCACCAAGGAGCUCUGGAAAUCCCUGGGAUGCAAAUUCACCGAUGUGCUGUGUGUUCCCGAGCGGAGGCUCCUGGAGGACAGCCGGAACCUUCCCAUCGCGUCCGGCGCCGCCCGCUCCGAGCGGCUCCUGCUCUUCGACGACGUCCUGGUGCUCAUCCAGGGAAACAGCUUCCAGAGUUUUGAUCUGAAGCUGGUGUGGGUGGAUGAAAACUGCGGAGAGAAAUCGGCUCCGGGACUGCACAGCCUACGCAUCACAACCCCGGAGGAGACCUUCGUCCUCUCCACCAAGGACCCUCAGACCAAGG